GACGAACGCUGGCGGCGUGCUUAACACAUGCAAGUCGAGCGGUAAGGCCCUUUCGGGGGUACACGAGCGGCGAACGGGUGAGUAACACGUGGGUGACCUGCCCUUAGCUCUGGGAUAAGCCUGGGAAACUGGGUCUAAUACCGGAUAUGACUCCAUAACGCAUGUUGUGGGGUGGAAAGCCUUGUGCGGCUAGGGAUGGGCCCGCGGCCUAUCAGCUUGUUGGUGGGGUGAUGGCCACCAAGGCGACGACGGGUAGCCGGCCUGAGAGGGCGACCGGCCACACUGGGACUGAGACACGGCCCAGACUCCUACGUGAGGCAGCAGUGGGGAAUCUUGCGCAAUGGGCGAAAGCCUGACGCAGCGACGCCGCGU
rnacentral:rRNA from 1 species